UAACCUACCCAUCAGAGGGGAGUAACACUUGGAAACAAGGGCUAAUACCGCAUAACAGUUUAUGCCGCAUGGCAUAAGAGUGAAAGGCGCUUUCGGGUGUCGGACUGAUGGAUGGACCCGCGGUGCAUUAGCUAGUUGGUGAGGUAACGGCUCACCAAGGCCACGAUGCAUAGCCGACCUGAGAGGGUGAUCGGCCACACUGGGACUGAGACACGGCCCAG
rnacentral:rRNA from 1 species